GAUGAACGCUGGCGGCGUGCCUAAUACAUGCAAGUCGAGCGAACAGACGAGGAGCUUGCUCCUCUGACGUUAGCGGCGGACGGGUGAGUAACACGUGGAUAACCUACCUAUAAGACUGGGAUAACUUCGGGAAACCGGAGCUAAUACCGGAUAAUAUAUUGAACCGCAUGGUUCAAUCGUGAAAGAAGGUUUUGCUGUCACUAAUAGAUGGAUCCGCGCCGCAUUAGCUAGUUGGUAAGGUAACGGCUUACCAAGGCAACGAUGCGUAGCCGACCUGAGAGGGUGAUCGGCCACACUGGAACUGAGACACGGUCCAGACUCCGACGGGAGGCAGCAGUAGGGAAUCUUCCGCAAUGGGCGAAAGCCUGACGGAGCAACGCCGCGUGAGUGAUGAAGGUCUUCGGAUCGUAAAACUCUGUUAUUAGGGAAGAACAAAUGUGUAAGUAACUAUGCACGUCUUGACGGUACCUAAUCAGAAAGCCACGGCUAACUACGUG
rnacentral:rRNA from 1 species